AUAGACGCAAUUAUGUCCAACGGCUACGUUAUUUAAGUGUUUCAUUAUAAUAAAAUAUUAAAAUGCUUACACAACAUAAAUUUAAUAGUUUAACUAAUCACAUCGUCCAAAUGUUCAAUGCAUCUAUUCAUCAUUUCAUUUAAUUACAUAUUAAUUAAAAAAAAAAACAGAAAAUUUCUAUAUAUAGCUUCCCUUUCUAAGGAGCCGUAAUCCAACAAUCCCAAUUAACUUACAUACUAUACUUUUUUAAUUAAUUAUAAUUAUUAAGAAAGACCCGGCUUACAAAUUAUGUUUAUUAAAAAGCACUUAAC
rnacentral:lncRNA from 1 species